UUCAUCUUUUUGUUUUCUUUUGUGCCGCUACUCCCAUCUCACUCUAUCCCCGCUGCCGACCAUCCAUUUUUGUUAUCAUUCUCGUCGAUUCAGUGCAAAGGUGAGUCACCGUUGAACGUCAGACCCCGACCCUCCACUCUUCUUUCUUAGUUCGUUGUGCGUCACUGUUCAAUACUUUUAACCGAGACCACUCUCGCCACCGAUCGUGGUGUCGCGGUUGUCCGUGGCCGUCAAGUGGUUGGACCGCGCGUGAAGAAGGUCGCUUCGGUCUGGUAAGGGUGUGUCUUACCUUCUUCGGUCAUUGGUGGCCACUAUAGAGUACCUUCCGAUCGUUUUGGGCUUCCUUUGGGCAGCCGAGGUUGUUGUUCGGUCUGGUAAGGGUGUGUCUUACCUUCUUCGGUCACCGAAAGUCGUAGGGCAGCAGUAGGUACUACAAUCAUUGUUCGGCAGUCCCUUUAGUUCGAAUCAAACCCCACUGCCCGGUGAUAUCGAUUCGGAAUCAAAUCUAUCACCUCCUUCACGGUUACCGGUUAACUUUGAACCAACUCGGGUUACAAGAAUCAACAAUGAGUAUUAGAAUCGAUUCGGUUUGAUCUAUAGUUCGGGCCGAUCAUGGGAAGCGCUAUUGUCGUCGUUAGCUAUUUGUUGAGGUGUGUAUCCGAUGCUAAAUUUUGUUUGUAAUAAUUGUUUGGUUGUCUGAAUUUGAGUGGAAGCAUGAUUAUUUUGUGAUAAUGUUGAAUUAAAUAUAUUUCGGAUAACAAGCUGAUUGAAAGUUGAUUUCAAGCAUGAUGGUAAUGUGACUUUGAUUUAUCAGUUGAAAUUCAAGAAAGUAUGAUAUGUGAUAUGUGUUAUGUAUUGGACUCAGAUUAUUUGUAUAUGUAAUUAUUAUGUUCGAAUUAUAUCAUAAUUUGGAUAUAUGAUAUUCGAGUAUGUGUUAUUCGGAUAUGUGUUAUUCGGAUCGGAUCAGAUACCAGAUAUGUGUGUCAUUUGCAUAUCAUAUUGGGAUGAAUUUUAAUAGGGGAAGUUAAGUGCAUUCACUCGACGGGGUGACUGUCACUUUUGAAUUCUGUGACCUCUGUCUUUGUGGUAGACCCCACUCUUCGGAUAUGGAUUAUUUGUAGUUUGAGUGGUUCUGGGGAACCCAUCCAUUGAUGGAGUGUUUGGAGUACAGGUGGGUGCAUGAACAUUUGCAUACAUUUAAAUAUUUGAUUAUCGUUGAUUGAUUCAAAAUAUGAUGAUUACUGUUUGUUUCAGAUUGUGCUGUGACUUGUGUUUAAUUGAACUUUAGAGACACACCAAGCUUAAUAGCUUACACCCCUUAGUUUCUCUCAUUCAGAUACUCAGGUUAGGA